rnacentral:rRNA from 1 species
CCUAUGAGUAACGAUUAAUACGGUCAGAAACCGUAUCGCCGUAAGACUAAGGUUUCCUGGAUCGAUGUUCGACAGACCAGGGUGAGUCGGGACCUAAGAAGAACCCGAAAGGGGUAUUCGAUGGCAAACGGGUUAAUAUUCCCGUACCAGUUUACAAUAAAAGGGGACGGAGAUCUGAACUGAUCGCGCACUGACGGAAUAGUGCGUUGAACCAAUCGCAAGGUUGGGAUAGUACUCCAAUCCCGCAAGGGUGAGGAGAUAGUGUCAGGUAAGUUCUUCCAAGAAAAGCCGAAGUAAACUGCUCGUACCGCAAUCCGACACAGGUAGUCGAGGAGAGUACCCUCAGGCGCUCGAACGAUUCAUGGCUAAGGAACUAGGCAAAUUAGACGCGUAACUUCGGGAGAAGCGUCCCUCAGCAAUGAGGCGCAGUGAAACGGCCCAGGCGACUGUUUAGCAAAAACACAGGACUAUGCUAAUUCGAAAGAAGACGUAUAUGGUCUGACACCUGCCCGGUGCUGGAAGGUUAAGGAAGGGGGUUAGCGCAAGCGAAGCUCUUGACUGAAGCCCCAGUAAACGGCGGCCGUAACUAUAACGGUCCUAAGGUAGCGAAAUUCCUUGUCGGGUAAGUUCCGACCUGCACGAAUGGUGUAACGAUCUGGGCUCUGUCUCAGCCAUGAUUUCGGUGAAAUUGAAGUAUCGGUGAAGAUGCCGGUUACCCGCAACGGGACGAAAAGACCCCGUGCACCUUUACUAUAGCUUCACAUUGGUCUUGAGUCUAAAAUGUGUAGGAUAGCUGGGAGACUUUGAAGCUGCCACGCCAGUGGUGGUGGAGUCGUCCUUGAAAUACCAGCCUUUUUAUAUUUAGGUUCUAAUCCCUAAAGGGAGACAGUGUGUGGUGGGUAGUUUGACUGGGGUGGUCGCCUCCAAAAGAGUAACGGAGGCUCGCAAAGGUGCCCUCAGUACCGUUGGUAAUGGUACGAAGAGCGUAUGAGUAUAAGGGUGCUUGACUGAGAGAACGACGGUUCGACCAGGUGCGAAAGCAGGCUCAAGUGAUCCGGUAACUCCACAUGGGUGGGUUAUCGCUCAUAGGAUAAAAGGUACGCCGGGGAUAACAGGCUGAUCUCCCCCAAGAGCUCAUAUCGACGGGGAGGUUUGGCACCUCGAUGUCGGUUCGUCACAUCCUGGGGCUGGAGAAGGUCCCAAGGGUUGGGCUGUUCGCCCAUUAAAGUGGCACGUGAACUGGGUUCAGAACGUCGCAAGACAGUUCGGUCUCUAUCUGUUGCGGGCGCGGGAAUAUUGAAAAGAUCUGACACUAGUACGAGAGGACCGUGUUGGACGUACCGCUAGUGUACCAGUUGUGGCGCCAGCUGCACCGCUGGGUAGCUAUGUACGGAACGGAUAAGCGCUGAAAGCAUCUAAGCACGAAGCCGUCUUUAAGAUGAGUAUUCCAUUCCCCCUUGCGGGGAUGAAGGGUCGUAGAAGACUACUACGUUGAUAGGCUAUAGGUGGAAGUACAGUGAUGUAUGGAGCCGAGUAGUACUAAUAACCCGAAAGCUUCCUCU